GGCUGGUUGGCGCAAUGGUAGCGCGUGCCCCUCCUAAGGGCAAGGUUGCGGGUUCGAGUCCCGUGCUGGUCG